GUCAUUAUUAAACGCCUGAAACGGAGUUUCAAGGGGCUCGGUUAUGAGGCUCACCUAAGUUCUCUUGCUCUAAAAGUGGGCCAAUCAGACCGUGGCACAUUGACCUGGUGUAACGGCUGCAGAAUGACAUCACAACACUCACCAGGCAUCUGGACGCCGGCUCGAAGAGGGCCAGCACCUGUAGACAGCAACUUCUGUAAAACCAUGCACUUCAUUGCACAGCGACCCGAAGAAGCAGAAGAUUGUGGGAGUUUUCCGACGCUGAGAUCUCACGUGAAGCAUCCGUGUCCACUUCCUCUGCAAUCUGUGAAAAG